rnacentral:lncRNA from 1 species
UGUCACCUUCCAGAGCGCCCGCGGCCGAGCCUGCUGCGCAGUCUGAUGACGUAUUUCCUGUUGGCCGAGCCGCGCGUACAGCUCAUCUAUCGCUCCCAGCUCCACGCAGGUCAACACAAGCUUGGCAGGGUCUCAGUAUGUAGUCCAGACUGGCUUCGAGCUUGCAGCAAUCCACCUGUCUCACCAUCCCAAGUGCUGGGAUAACAGUUAGGAAGCCACAACUUGAAUAGGAUAAGUUCAUCAUUGGCCCUCUCAUCCAGGACAUAGGUGUACACCACUGAAGCUUGGCCUUUACUUCUGAUUGAUCAGGAAGCUGUGAGUGAGCCAGACACCUGAACUAUUUCUCUAGGAAUAUAUGCAAUGAAGGUGGUAUGUCUGAAUGAAAAAACAACCUACAAGGGGGUUUCACCCCAUAUUCUCAUUCCUGAAUGACAAUGAUUCCCUGAGUCCUUGGACGGAAGUUGUGUCCUGGCUCUGUUUUCCUAGGAGGCUACCACCCUGGACCUGAAUAUUGUAUCCUAUGUUCCUUUUCUUUUCGAGACAAGCUCAAUAUACAGUUCAGGCUGGCUGGAAAUUCUCAGUGAUCCUCCUGCCUCAGCCUCCCGAGUGCUGGGAUUACAAGCAUGCAUCACCACAUCAGGCCUGUUUCUUUUUGAUGAAAGUGUGGGGAGACAUAUUGGCAAUCAGCAGGCAAUGUCCCCAUAUAUAUGCUUGCCACAAUGGCACUAGUACAGUGGAACUAUGAGAAGCAACCAAAGCAAGAUGUGUCUCAACACAUCUUGAGUGGGAGUGGGUAUUAUUUUGGUAACUAGGGUGGCUUUGUGUGGCUCAUUUCUACAAUCUUCCCCAGGUCUGCUGAGAACACCAAACCAUUCCAAAAAGAUUACAGUAAAUAAUACCAGGGGCCUAGCAUUCUUUCCAAGGCUUUAAUUCCAGCACACUAUUCAGGAUACAAAGUAGUUUGCCAGAGUGGCUUCACAGACUGGGGCUGUGCAGGAUCACUUUGAAUAGGACUAGAGGCUCUGUCAUGCGCACGUCCAGCCUUGGCUUCCUGUUGGCAUGUGCCAGAAUCUCAGCUCUCCUGGAGAAAUCAGGGGAGUAGGCCUCUGUUCU